AGAGUUUGAUCCUGGCUCAGGAUGAACGCUAGCGACAGGCUUAACACAUGCAAGUCGAGGGGCAGCGGGGAGGUAGCAAUACUUCCGCCGGCGACCGGCGCACGGGUGAGUAACACGUAUGGAACCUGCCCGUAGCAGGGGGAUAAACGGAAGAAAUUCCGUCUAAUACCGCGUAAUAACUCCGAGAGGCAUCUCAUGGAGUUUAAAGGGUAACACCGGCUACGGAUGGCCAUGCGGCGCAUUAGCUAGUUGGCGGGGUAACGGCCCACCAAGGCGACGAUGCGUAGGGGUUCUGAGAGGAAGGUCCCCCACACUGGUACUGAGACACGGACCAGACUCCUACGGGAGGCAGCAGUGAGGAAUAUUGGUCAAUGGGCGCGAGCCUGAACCAGCCAAGUCGCGUGAGGGAAGACGGUCCUAUGGAUUGUAAACCUCUUUUGUCGGGGAGCAAAAGACGCCACGUGUGGCGUUCCGAGAGUACCCGAAGAAAAAGCAUCGGCUAACUCCGUGCCAGCAGCCGCGGUAAUACGGAGGAUGCGAGCGUUAUCCGGAUUUAUUGGGUUUAAAGGGUGCGCAGGCGGAAGAUCAAGUCAGCGGUAAAAUUGAGAGGCUCAACCUCUUCGAGCCGUUGAAACUGGUUUUCUUGAGUGAGCGAGAAGUAUGCGGAAUGCGUGGUGUAGCGGUGAAAUGCAUAGAUAUCACGCAGAACUCCGAUUGCGAAGGCAGCAUACCGGCGCUCAACUGACGCUCAUGCACGAAAGUGUGGGUAUCGAACAGGAUUAGAUACCCUGGUAGUCCACACAGUAAACGAUGAAUACUAAUUGUUCGGGGAGAAUGAUCCCUGAGUGAUACAGCGAAAGCGUUAAGUAUUCCACCUGGGGAGUACGCCGGCAACGGUGAAACUCAAAGGAAUUGACGGGGGCCCGCACAAGCGGAGGAACAUGUGGUUUAAUUCGAUGAUACGCGAGGAACCUUACCCGGGCUCAAACGACACAGGAAUACUUUUGAAAGGAGGUAGCUCUACGGAGUCUGUGUCGAGGUGCUGCAUGGUUGUCGUCAGCUCGUGCCGUGAGGUGUCGGCUUAAGUGCCAUAACGAGCGCAACCCCCAUCGCCAGUUACCAGCAAGUCAAGUUGGGGACUCUGGCGAGACUGCCGGCGCAAGCUGUGAGGAAGGCGGGGAUGACGUCAAAUCAGCACGGCCCUUACGUCCGGGGCGACACACGUGUUACAAUGGCAGGUACAGAGAGAAGCAAUGCGGCGACGCAAAGCGGAACUUGAAAGCCUGUCUCAGUUCGGAUUGGAGUCUGCAACUCGACUCCAUGAAGCUGGAUUCGCUAGUAAUCGCGCAUCAGCCAUGGCGCGGUGAAUACGUUCCCGGGCCUUGUACACACCGCCCGUCA
rnacentral:rRNA from 1 species